UAAUUCAUUUGUCUGCAUCGCGCUGAUCGGUUGCCUAUUUGUUCAUAUUAUGUUAUUAACUAUGAUUCGUUUUUGUCUUUAUACUAGAACUGUUUGAAUUUAAAGCACAAACAGUAAAACAUUAAGGUUAUACGUGGUACACAGCGGUAAACAUGAGGUUAAAAAUACGCGAAGUAACAUUCAAACCGGGCUGUUAAAAGAAUCAAUUCGAUGUUUAAAUUUUUAAAAACAAAACUUUAAAGAAGCCAAGAUGAGACGUUAUUUGCUUAAAACAAACAAAACAACAGUAACUCGUGUGUUUGAAAUGUUAGCAGCUAGCAAGUGUCUCUCUGCUAUUUUAAAUGAGGUCAUGUACACUGUGGUCAACUUUGUGGACGAUGAAGAGGUUUCUGGGUAAAGCUGAUAGAAAUAUAAUGAAGUAACAGUGAAAGCUAAAACAUCAGACUGAUCCAGACACUGAAGAAAUUGAUGUCACUGCAAUCUGGCCAAAAUGAUACAACUAUAUUGAAGUAACCUACUGUAAUGAAGCUGCAGAACAACACAGAGACUCUGAGGACAUCAACACAGAAAAUUAAGAAGAUUUAUGAAG